CGCUAAAUGAAAAAUGUCAAAGGAAAGGACAGUGAGUUUAGUAUAAUAUGUUCAAAAUAAGAGAGGAAGGAAGGAAGGAAGGAAGGGAGAGAGGAAGGAAGGAAUAAACAGAGGAAAAGAAGGAAGGAGGGGAAAGAAAAAAGGAAAUCAAUCAAAGGAAGGAGGAAGGAAUGAAUGGAGAGAAAAAGGAAGAAGGGAAGGAAGGGGGAGAAAAUGAAGGGAUAAAAGAAUAACAUUUCCUUGAAUAUUCAGAAAAUAUCUCUGGAGGACUUGUCUCUUGGGACAGCAACUGUCAGCUGGGGUCAUGUACUUUGUACCUUUUAAAUAUUUUGAAAUGUUUUGUACAUUAAAACAAUGUUAAGCCAAGUGAAUAGAUUACUUGUUUUAAUGUAAAUGUGAGAAAGUUGCCCUACUUCCCUGUUUCCCAUUAAGGAUCUGGGAGUGGGCUGUGGCGUUUAAUCUAAUGCAGAAUAAAGCACGAAUAUGAAAAUGGCUAUUUUUUUCUUUCAUCUUGAUAAUUAGACUUUUUUUUUUUUUUUUUUUGACAAGGUCUCACUGUAUUGCUUAGGCUGAAUUCUCUCCCCUCAGCGUCCCCAGUAACUGGGAGUAGCGGCAUAUGCCAUCACACUGGCUUAUGCUGCCAUUUGUCGUGCAGCGGAAUGGGUGGGGUGGGGGGUAUGGGCAUUUGAAAAUGUGUUUAAAGAAGCAGCUUCAAAUGUCCUUCCCUUUGGGUGGUAAAUAGUACGGGCAGUCAAUCAGAAAAGAUACUAAUAAGCUGAAGAAGUGACAAUACUACGAAGAAGUAAACAGCAAAUUAGUGGUUUAAAAAUUCUUAUAAGAGGUAAUCACAUAAAACUGUUGAAGCUUAGGCAGUCUGAAAAUAAGGCACAUAUCUGCAUCUAUGUGCAACUGAGUAUAAAUUGAAUCGACUUCUCCUGUAGUUCUUUUUUAAUAUGUCUAUGAUGCCAUGCAGCACCGUGCUAUCUUUAUCUAUCUACACAUUCUUCUGCAGUGUGAAUCCCUGGAAGGCAAGAUCGCCAUUCUGGUCUCUUGUGGAUAUCAAUGCUGAUCUCAGCUUCUGAUGCACGGCAGUCAAUUAAUAAAUGAUUGUUGCCUGAAAAACUGAGCCCCAAAACAAUAUUACAAGUUUAAUAUCAGUAAAGGAUUUAAUGCUUUCUAACAUGAAGAUACCAGAUCUUUUCUAUUCCUGGACUUUUAGAGUUGCUGAUUUUUGUAUAACCCAGAGAUGGAUUUAAAUGCAGAGUGUAUGAACUUCUUCAUUCCUGAGGGAGGACUUAUGAUUUCAUGAGAAAUGCCCUAGGAAAGGGGCCGGGGAGACUGAUGGAGAAGAAGAGUUUGGGAGGGAAGCCCCAAGGACCAUCUGCCCCAUCAGAGUCACAUGCAGAGGGUCCUGCUCCUGCCGUUGGAAGUUGGCUUCCUGAGCUGCUGAACGUGCCAGUCCUGCUGACCCACUCUCAGAUAUCACAGGCACCCGCUGUGUCUGACAGAGACCUUUCUGCAAGUACACGUGCAGGUCUGCUCUGCAAAGGCGUUAUCAUCUGCAGAUUAUUGCACAGAGUGGCUACGAGCUGUGGUGUGAUCCUGUCACAGAGAGAGCCUGGUCACGUUUUCAGAACAGCAGGAAACAGGUACACCUGUAAGCUUAUACUUAUCAGAUUUAAAAAUAAAACAAAAAAUCCAUGCUAUUCCAUGAAAAUCGGACUCAAAUAAACUUAGUCACUGAUCUGUGAAGUAAAUAAUCUGAUGGUAAUGCAUCAGUUGACACUUGGGCCUGGGUUUUUAGGCACUAAUGAAAGCCAGGGGCAAAAUAAUUUUUAAUCUACCAUUAUUUCCCUUGAUGGUUC
rnacentral:lncRNA from 1 species